GACGAACGCUGGCGGCGUGCCUAAUACAUGCAAGUCGAGCGCAGGAAGUCGACGGAACCCUUCGGGGGGAAGUCGACGGAAUGAGCGGCGGACGGGUGAGUAACACGUAAAGAACCUGCCCUCAGGUCUGGGAUAACCACGAGAAAUCGGGGCUAAUACCGGAUGGGUCAUCGGACCGCAUGGUCCGAGGAUGAAAGGCGCUCCGGCGUCGCCUGGGGAUGGCUUUGCGGUGCAUUAGCUAGUUGGUGGGGUAAUGGCCCACCAAGGCGACGAUGCAUAGCCGGCAUGAGAGGGUGAUCGGCCACACUGGGACUGAGACACGGCCCAGACUCCUACGGGAGGCAGCAGUAGGGAAUCUUCCACAAUGGGCGAAAGUCUGAUGGAGCAACGCCGCGUGAACGAUGAAGGCCUUCGGGUCGUAAAGUUCUGUUGUAAGGGAAGAACAAGUGCCGCAGGCAAUGGCGGCACCUUGACGGUACCUUGCGAGAAAGCCACGGCUAACUACGUGCCAGCCGCCGCAGUAAUAC
rnacentral:rRNA from 1 species